ensembl:lincRNA
GACUGAUGGUGCACAGCGCCUUUGAAAAUAAAAAAGUACAGAAUCGCAAGAGUGUGAUAAGACAUCCACUACGAGAAAAACAGCACAUGAGCCGGUUAUUGAAUCUUCUAGUUUCUUCAUUCCACUGCACUUAGAGGGAGGACACAGGCAGACGCCGUGGCUCCAGGAGCUCUCCCCCGCCCUGCCCCCAGGUCCCCCAGGUUUGUGUGGGUUGUUAGGGGGGGUCCCUGGGGACACCCACUCUUCCCAUUAGCAGAGAACCAGGCUGGGCACGCACCACGGCUCCACUAAUAUUUGCUCUAUUGGAUCACAAAGCUGAGUAAUCGCCAUUUAAGAUGCAAGUAAUGGAGCAGCAAAUGGAGCUCCAGGGACAGGCUCAGCCACAACCAUCAAGAGGCAGAGUUCAGAUCAGCAGUCUCCUGUCCUCCCUGCUACAGCCACUGCUAAAAUCACAGUUCUCUAGCUGGACAUGGUGGUGCACACGGGUGACGCCAGCACUCAAGAGGCUGAGGCAGGAAGAUUGCCUGAAGUUCAGCAACACUCAUAGUGAGCUCAAGAUAAGUCUGGACUACAUAGCAAGACUCUAUUUCAAAAAAAAAAGAAAAGAAAAAGAAAUCACAGGUCUUAGUUAAAAGAAGGAAGACCCUGCUAUCAACCUCAGGCUGAGAUUCAGGAUAGCACCAAGACCCCCAGAAAAAGAGCCCCCUGCUUGCCAGUGGCAGGCUCCCAGCCCAUGAGCACGGGCUCAGGAGGUAUGAUACGUGCAAAUGAACACUGUUUGUGCAAACUUGUGAGACUUGCCAGCUCUCAGUUUAACUAGAUUUCUGUAGUGACAUCCAGGCAUGUUCUGCAUUAAAUUAGAGCUGGUAAUUUCAGAGGCAAACAGCUCUGAAAUGGCAUGAAAGACAAAAAUCUGUUCCUUGAAAAAUGACACCAUAUGUGCCUGCGUUGCUGCAAGUUAGGGUAAAAGGCUUUGCCUCCCUUUGUUACUCAUCAAGCCGCCAAUGUUAAUGUCAGAUUUGCAACAGAACCAUCUACUAAUGGAACUCAAAUUAGCUCUAAAAUUAGCUCUUAACAAGAAACUGGAGGCUAGCUCAAGGCAAGCAGAUUUCUCUGACUGUGAGAGACGCGAGGCACUUUAGCAAAGCAGCCGCAUAUUGAUAUUCUCAAGCCUCAAAAAAGAUCCCUCUUCGCUCUGAAUUGCCCAAGAAGAAUGGUGCCCAACCUACCGUCUGUCUGGGCAAAAGGAGCCAGCGGCUGGCCUGCAGGUCUAAGAAAACUCCCUCCGAACAAAGAAGCUACCGAGAUCUUGGAGAGUGGGGGGGGGAGAGGGAGGGACUCAGGGGUCAGAGCUGGGUGGGGGACUGGGUCCUGGGAGUGGCAGUGCUCUGUUAUCACUGUUGAGCUAACAGCUUUACGAGCCUCAGAGAUUCAGAAAAAUCAGAUAUGGAAACUAUGUAAUGGAUAAAUAAUGUUUAGCAGCUGAAACUGAUCAUUAAAUUCUCUUCCACCCUCCUUAAAAAUUAUGGGCUGAAAUGUUUCUAGAGAGUAUCCUACUCGUGGUGAC